rnacentral:rRNA from 1 species
CUACGGAGGGUGCAAGCGUUACUCGGAAUCACUGGGCGUAAAGCGCGCGCAGGCGGCCAUUUAAGUUGGAUGUGAAAGCCUACGGCUCAACCGUAGAACUGCAUCCAAAACUAUUUGGCUAGAGUGUGGGAGAGGAAGAUGGAAUUAGUUGUGUAGGGGUAAAAUCCGUAGAGAUAACUAGGAAUACCAAAAGCGAAGGCAAUCUUCUGGAACAUUACUGACGCUGAGGCGCGAAAGCGUGGGGAGCAAACAGGAUUAGAAACCCCAGUAGUCC